rnacentral:ncRNA from 1 species
UGAAAAACGAUGACCAGGAGGAGUAGAAGUUCCCUCACAUUUAAGAGAGAAGUUCAGUUGGUGAAAGAACUUUAUGUGAUAGCUUUGAAGGUAGCCUGUGAGUUGAGUUUCUGAAAUAAAUAGUAAGAAAUUCCGUUAGCUGCGUUAAAGCAUGAAGUGGUAAGUCAAUAAACUUACAAUCAAGGUGGUACCGCGGAAUCUUAAGCAUUUCGUCCUUAUU